GAUGAACGCUGGCGGCGUGCCUAACACAUGCAAGUCGAGCGAUCUUCUUCGGAAGAGAGCGGCGGACGGGUGAGUAACGCGUGGGUAACCUGCCUCAUACACAUGGAUAACAUACCGAAAGGUAUGCUAAUACAAGAUGAUAUAAGAGAUUCGCAUGAAUUUCUUAUCAAAGCUCCGGCGGUAUGAGAUGGACCCGCGUCUGAUUAGCUAGUUGGUAAGGUAACGGCUUACCAAGGCGACGAUCAGUAGCCGACCUGAGAGGGUGAUCGGCCACAUUGGAACUGAGACACGGUCCAAACUCCUACGGGAGGCAGCAGUGGGGAAUAUUGCACAAUGGGCGAAAGCCUGACGCAGCAACGCCGCGUGAGCGAUGAAGGCCUUCGGGUCGUAAAGCUCUGUCCUCAAGGAAGAUAAUGACGGUACUUGAGGAGGAAGCCCCGGCUAACUACGUGCCAGCCGCCGCAGUAAAAC
rnacentral:rRNA from 1 species